CGCCAGCGGCCAGGGGCAGGCCGGCGCGCUCGGCGCACCGCGCACAGCGGCCAGGCACGCACCUCAGCUGUCCGAGGUAGAGGCGGCUGCGGCAUCGACGGCUCAAGGAAGAUGCUCCGUCUGUCCAAGGACCAGGCGGCCGUGCUCGAGGACAGCUUCCGGGAGCACCCCACUCUCAACCCUCGGCAGAAGGCAGCCUCAGCCGCCCGAGGUAGAGGCGGGCCGGCGGACUCCAGACGGAGCGACGGACAGGCCGGACGGAGCGACGGCCUGAGACAGGAAGCCGGCAAGUGUCUUAGCUCGGUUCGCGAAGAAGACCACCAGAGACCGUGAACCAAGGUGAAUUGAAAUUUAUGUAUAAUUUGUGAUUAAUUAUAGUUAUGGAUUUGUGAAAAAAGUAGCAGUAAUGUAUACAUGUAGUCAUAAUUUUCUAAAUCUUGAAUCCUUCUAAUUUGUAGGUUUAAACUAUGAAAAGAAAGAGGGGUGGUAGUGCCGCCAUUGAUUUGAAAUCUUUCUUGCAAAGAGCUGCGGCAAAGAAAAAACCUUUUGAGUCAGAGGUUGUUGCUCCACCUACUAAUGAAAAUCAAAGGCAGAUAGUGGUAUUUUCAAGCGAAGGAUGAGGACAUCAUCAAUUAUUUUCAAGCUAUGAAGGACCGAAAAAUUAUCUUGUAAUUUGUAAGCAUCCUUAUCAAUGCCAUUUAUUGUUUUAGUACCUCUAUUUUCUAUAUGUUGAACAAUUUCAGAAUUCAGAUUAUGAACAAUUUAUGUUGUUAGUACUAAAUCAUGUGCUACUAAUAUGUAUGUUGGGCUGUUAA